rnacentral:tRNA from 1 species
GCGCGAGUGGCUCAGUGGUUAGAGCACCUUCCUGAUAAGAAGGGGGUCGCAGGUUCGAUUCCUGCCUCGCGCA